rnacentral:lncRNA from 1 species
CCCAGAUUGAUAAUAGCAACAAUAAGGCUGAAACGCGAACCUGCAGACCGACUGUUCAGCGAGGACCUGUUCUGACUGGUGCCGGCCGGGAAACCAGGAAGGAAACAUGCUGGGGAUAAACACGAAGGGACAUGGCUUCCGAAUGUGGUUUUUCCCUCGAUGGCUUCCUCCCCAGGGAACUGGUUUCAGAUGGUGUCUUAGAGUAUAAAGUCCCAUCUAGCACCAUUUGAAAUCGGUGUUCUUGAGCGGGAACAGACUUCAUCCACUUCAGUUGCCAGAACGUUUAGGAUUUAGUGGCAUUGUUUGCAUCCAACCUUUUUACAAAAAUAUUCCAGGUGGUAUAUACAAUCAGUUUAUACAACCAUGUGUCCACUGCUUCAGUCCUACGCUCCAGUGACCAGAAGAAAAAAAGAAAAGUGCUGGAAGUCCAAUCUCCUGACCAGCUGGUCGCCCUCUUACCAAGGCUGACCGUUUUCGUCUGGUGUUCAGAGUUUCCAUCAUGUCUAGCACCAUUUGAAAUCGGUUAGCAUGUGGAGGGAAUACCAACCAGGCUUUUGCUUCAGCAGUCGCAUGAGGAAGUUCCUUAAAGUACCAGAAGAUGGCAGCAUUGAGCUGCAAUUCACGCUAUCAUCAAAACUCCGUUUCUGCUUUAAUCAUGUUGCCGUCACUCAGCCGUGCUGUGUGUUCCAGCUGCACUUAUCUUCUUCUGUACAGAUGUUAAACAAUAUCUGGCUCAACGCUUCACUAGUUCACGGUUUGUGUAUCCGCCCAUUGCAGACCUGCCAAAUUAUUUCUAUAUUUAAAUAUACAAACAUUGUGCACAUUUUUGUCUAAUUACCAUAUGUGCGGAAUCUUCCAUCAUUAAAGCAAAGCUGGUUUCACUCAAAGUCGAGCAGUCUUUUAUUUAUUAAGUCUCAUUAAAUGAAGCUAUGUUUUUGUUUUUGUUUAAAUAAAAAUGUAACAAAUGGGUUAUUUGUGUUUAUUAUAAUGAAUUAAAUUAAAUUAUAGCUUUUAAUCUUUUAAUACAUGCCUGAGAUUAACCAACACUUUUAGCAUUAACAGCAGGAUGAUAGAAAAGCACUUUUAAAUCAACGAAUACAACAGCCCUGCGAUAAAUACUAUCAUCACGAAGGUUAUAAUUUAGUUUCUGUUUAAACUGUGAGUGGUGGUGUUGCAUUGUGCUGCAUUAUGCUGGCAGGCACUCCUGUUGUUUUGGUCGACCCAUUUAUAUCAAUGACGGAUGACGGCAUAACAGAAACACCCCUCCAGCGUGUAUUUAAACACGAGCGUGUACAUGACGACAACAUUAGCAGUCGCUGUACCGGCCAAAUCUUGUUUCAGUUGAUAUGUUGAGCAACAGUGUAAGUAGUCGUCCACUACAGCUGUGUAAUGACUACCCACUGACCUUCUCAGAAAGUGUGUUGUGGAGCCAAGUCUAAGCUAAAUUGAAAGUCUUAAAAUACUCCACCCCCAACAUGACCUUAAUUUUGAUGUUUGGUGUCUGCAAGAAGCCCACCUGGCACAUGGGUAAAGAUAUAUUCUUAGCAGAGUGUGUUGCCAUAUCAACAAUAAACAAGAACAUACCCGUCCAUGUCCUUUCACUUCGGAGCGCAUGUGAACCAUUUCAGCUGAACAUGACAUCAUCAGAAACAUCAUUCGUUCUAGAUCCUCCCAGCUCUGCUUUGACUUGCCCUGUCGGCGUCACCGUGAU